GUUAAAUAAUUCUCUAGAGGGUAAAUCUAACCAAUUUUUCAGAACAUCAAAGCUUUUCAAUUGGUGGUCAUUAUAAAGAUCUUUUAUCUUAUGAUUAGAGUCUUUAUACCAAUUCGUCAAAUUUAUCUCUAGCAUAAAACAUUCUAACGACCUUAGACUCAGGUUCUCAUAUAUUUUUCUGUUAAUAUUCAACUUCUUCUUUAUAAUAGUCCAUUCUUUUAAUGUCUGUGAUAGAGACAAAGGACAAUGAGAACCAAUCUCACACAGAUGCCUAUUCUGGCUUGCCUCUCUCCAUAAGAGGAAUUCGAGGUUAUCUAAACCAAGUCUGGCUGCUUCAAUUUUAUACCAGGCUUGGUCUGUAGAGUCGCUUAAUUGUAAUUUACUGGCAUGAACUAGUAUAUUAGCCUGGUAGAUUUGAUUAACAAGGGGGUAACCCAACCCCCCCUGAUGGGCCUUCCUUGAUAGAAUGUAUGUACUAAUUCUUGGUCUCUUCCC